rnacentral:rRNA from 1 species
CUACGGGGCGCAGCAGUGGGGAAUCUUAGACAAUGGGCGCAAGCCUGAUCUAGCCAUGCCGCGUGAGUGACGAAGGCCUUAGGGUCGUAAAGCUCUUUCGCUGGGGAAGAUAAUGACGGUACCCAGUAAAGAAACCCCGGCUAACUCCGUGCCAGCAGCCGCGGUAAUACGGAGGGGGUUAGCGUUGUUCGGAAUUACUGGGCGUAAAGCGCGCGUAGGCGGAUCAGAAAGUUGGGGGUGAAAUCCCGGGGCUCAACCCCGGAACUGCCUUCAAAACUCCUGGUCUUGAGUUCGAGAGAGGUGAGUGGAAUUCCGAGUGUAGAGGUGAAAUUCGUAGAUAUUCGGAGGAACACCAGUGGCGAAGGCGGCUCACUGGCUCGAUACUGACGCUGAGGUGUGAAAGCGUGGGGAGCAAACAGGAUUAGAUACCCCGGUAGUC